rnacentral:rRNA from 1 species
AGUCGACGGUGAAGAGGAGAUUGCUCCUUGGAUCAGUGGCGAACGGGUGAGUAACACGUGAGCAAUCUGCCCUUGACUCUGGGAUAACUGCGGGAAACUGUAGCUAAUACCGGAUAUUACCUUGGAAGGCAUCUUCUGGGGUGGAAAGAAUUUUGGUCAAGGAUGAGCUCGCGGCCUAUCAGCUAGUUGGUGAGGUAAUGGCUCACCAAGGCGACGACGGGUAGCCGGCCUGAGAGGGUGACCGGCCACACUGGGACUGAGACACGGCCCAGACUCCUACGGGAGGCAGCAGUGGGGAAUAUUGCACAAUGGGCGCAAGCCUGAUGCAGCAACGCCGCGUGAGGGACGAAGGCCUUCGGGUUGUAAACCUCUUUUAGUAGGGAAGAAGCGACUGGGUUUUCCUGGAAGUGACGGUACCUGCAGAAAAAGCACCGGCUAACUACGUGCCAGCAGCCGCGGUAAUACGUAGGGUGCAAGCGUUGUCCGGAAUUAUUGGGCGUAAAGAGCUCGUAGGCGGUUUGUCGCGUCUGCUGUGAAAACCCGAGGCUCAACCUCGGGCCUGCAGUGGGUACGGGCAGACUAGAGUGCGGUAGGGGAGAUUGGAAUUCCUGGUGUAGCGGUGGAAUGCGCAGAUAUCAGGAGGAACACCAAUGGCGAAGGCAGAUCUCUGGGCCGUAACUGACGCUGAGGAGCGAAAGCAUGGGGAGCG